AGAAUCCAGAUGCCAAGUAAAAAGAGAGGUCGCAGUUUCCCGUCUAUCUCCGCCAAGUGAGACCUUCCAGCUCCAGGCAACCCACCUGCCGAAUGCAGCUUCUUGAUCAAGCCCAGGCAAGACCAGCAAAAGAACCACCCAGCCAAGCCACAAAAUCAUGAGAAGCUGAAGCUUGGAUAUUGUCAUGACCCAGCUUUGACAGUGCAACUAAGGACAGCGUCCUACGGAUGGUGACGCACAACAAGAUGGGAAGCAGCCAGAUCCCCAACUGACCAGUCUGCACCACCCUGGUUUCUGGCCCCAGCAAAGCACCUGAUAAAAAAACAAGUGUUCAAUAAGCCUUUCCUGAUUGAUUGAAUGGGUGCCUGAAUUGGUAAGAACUAAAGCCAUAAAAAGUGAAUUGGAUUAAAUCUGAAGGGCCUGGGAUGUCCUGGAUAGGAACUUGGACUUUUACACUGCCCGCAUUAAGGUUCCAUGGAAAGUUUUCAAGUAGAGAGAAAGAACUUUGCGUUUUCUGGCUGCUCAGAAUCGUGUUAGCUGGCGACACCUGCUGGCCAUGCGGAACACUGCAGCCUAGCGCAGGCUGUGACUCCAGGGAGGAAGAGAUGAAGCAGUUGUUAAAUACUGAAAGUUACAAGUUAGAGGGCUUACACCUUGUGAUAAAUAACCUUUUGGAACUACUCCGGACCAGUCGGUGUGAUGGGUGCUGUCGUGGGGAUGGAGCAAACUUUAGACAUGGUUCCUGGUGUGGAAAUUUUAGGUUUCUUUUUUUUAGCGUUUCUGUCCCUUGCUCUUAAGUUUAUAAAAAAUGCCUCUUCAACAGCUGGCCCAGCUGACACAACAGCUGGCCCAGACAGAGCAACACCUGAACAGUCUGAUGGCCCGGCUGGACCCCCUUUUUGAGCGUGUGACUACCCUGGCUGGAGCCCAGCAGGAGUUUCUGCACAUGAAGCUACAGAGCAUCCAACAGCUGCUACAAGAGAGCAAGACAAAACAAGGGUGUGGAAGUUCCGGAACCAGAGGCCAGCAUACCCUUUCCUAAGGUCUUAUGUAUAGAGGAGGGCAAGGAAGAGGCUGGUGACAGACCCCAGAGGAGCCCCUAACCUGGAGCACAGGGACAAGGAACCUAGCAACACCCAGGGAAAUGGCGCGGGGGCUAAGGAGCAAAUGCAGGAAGGCGGCAGCAAAGGUCCUGUCACGGCCCCCAACUGGGAAGGAGGGACAACAGCUGACGGUUUAGUAAAACAAUCUGUUCUUAUGAAGGGAAAAAAAAAAAGCCUCUUGCACCCUCUCCUUCCUUCUGUAAUUCUUUCUUGUCCAUUUGCAUCGACUUACGCUUUUCUCAUUUCUACCAAAGGAGUAAGUUAUUUGAGCCAACUUGUGAUUUUGAUUAAAAAAAUAAAAUAAAAUAAAGAGCCAGAACCAAACUAAAAACCGCACACUGUGUGCACCGCAACGAAGAGCAGCCCUGCUCAGCGCAACUAGAGGAAGCCCGCGCGCAGCAGCGGAGACCCAACGCAGCCAAAACAAACAAACAAGCAAGCAAACAAGACCCCCCACUGUCGUAAGAAAUGAGCCAUUUUCUCGGAUGAGACGGUACACCGAGGUCUUUGGCUGGACCCGCUGGGGAGACUUUUCUCCGCUCUCAGUGUUGAGAGAAGAUGUUCUAUUCCUAAAAACCAGUCUGAUUGCACCUAAAGACGCUGUGCAGCGCCUGCAAUGAUCCUUUGCCCUUUAACUUUGGCCUCCGGAAAGAGACUUAGAGAAACUUUCUGGCCCCCUUUUAGCAACUGGAUAAGACUGUGCUUUUCUCUGUGCCAAUAUCAUACCUGAGUUUUAAAAAUCUUUUUUACGUUUUUGUAAGCCACUACAGAUCUCUAACACAACGUAUGACUAACCAUCGGAAUGACUGGCCCAGAUAAAAAGCGUCUAGGAAACCACAGGACCGGAGAUGUGAAGGAGGAGGGCCUUAGGAGAGGGUCUGUACCUGGAGGAGGGGCG